AAUGAACGCUGGCGGCAGGCCUAACACAUGCAAGUCGAACGGAUCCUUCGGGAUUAGUGGCGGACGGGUGAGUAACGCGUGGGAACAUACCCAAAGGUACGGAAUAGCCUCGGGAAACUGGGAGUAAUACCGUAUGUGCUCGAAAGAGGAAAGAUUUAUCGCCUUUGGAUUGGCCCGCGUUGGAUUAGGUAGUUGGUGGGGUAAUGGCCUACCUAGCCGACGAUCCAUAGCUGGUUUGAGAGGAUGAUCAGCCACACUGGGACUGAGACACGGCCCAGACUCCUACGGGAGGCAGCAGUGGGGAAUCUUAGACAAUGGGGGAAACCCUGAUCUAGCCAUGCCGCGUGAUCGAUGAAGGCCUUAGGGUUGUAAAGAUCUUUCAGGUGGGAAGAUAAUGACUGUACCACCAGAAGAAGCCCCGGCCAACUCCGUGCCAGCAGCCGCGGUAA
rnacentral:rRNA from 1 species